GUGGAUUAGAUACCCUGGUAGUCCACGCUGUAAACGAUGAUCACCGCUGUAUGCGAUACACAGUAUGCGGCCAAGCGAAAGCAUUAAGUGAUCCACCUGGGGAGUACGAUCGCAAGGUUGAAACUCAAAGGAAUUGACGGGGGCCCGCACAAGCGGAGGAACAUGUGGUUUAAUUCGAUGAUACGCGAGGAACCUUACCUGGGCUUAAAUGUAGAACGACAGAUUGUGAAAGCAGUCCUUCUUCGGACGUUUUACAAGGUGCUGCAUGGCUGUCGUCAGCU
rnacentral:rRNA from 1 species